GAAGGUGUAUGAGAGAAAGAAAGAGUUGAAUGAAAGAAAGAAGGAAGGAAGGAAGGUGUAUGAGAGAAAGAAAGAAAGAGUGGAACGAAAGAGAAGGAAGGAAGGUGUAUGAGAGAAAGAAAGAGUUGAAUGAAAGAAAGAAGGAAGGAAGGUGUAUGAGAGAAAGAAAGAAAGAGUGGAACGAAAGAGAAGGAAGGAAGGUGUAUGAGAGAAAGAAAGAGUUGAAUGAAAGAAAGAAGGAAGGUGUAUGAGAAAGAAAGAAAGAAAGAAAGAAAGAAAGAAAGAAAGAGUGGAACGAAAGAGAAGGAAGGAAGUUGUAUGAGAGAAAGAAAGAGUUGAAUGAAAGAAAGAAGGAAGGAAGGUGUAUGAGAGAAAGAAAGAAAGAGUGGAACGAAAGAGAAGGAAGGAAGGUGUAUGAGAGAAAGAAAGAGUUGAAUGAAAGAAAGAAGGAAGGAAGGUGUAUGAGAGAAAGAAAGAAAGAAAGAAAGAAAGAGAAAGAAAGAAAGAAAGAAAGGAACGAAAGAGAAGGAAGGAAGGUGUAUGAGAGAAAGAGAUUGAAUGAAAGAAGGAAGGAAGGAAAGUGUAUGAGAGAAAGAAAGAAAGAAAGAAAGAGUGCAACGAAAGAGAAGGAAGGAAGGUGCAUGAAAGAAAGCAAGAACUGAACAAAAGAGAUAGAAGGAAGGAAAGGAGGAAAGUAUAUGAACGAAACAGGUUAAAUUAUAACCAUUGGCUACUCUUCUGCUUGAGACCUAAUGUCUUUGUAAGUAGCUGGAUGGCCAUCUGUUGGGAGAGCUUUGAUUGUUUCCCUGGGUUUGGGUGCUUUUAUUAUUACUAAUGAUAAUAUUAUUUCCAUUGGAGCAUUCCAGUGGCAAACUCCCUUUGACGCGAGAAGUUCAAGGGAGGACAGGAAUGCUGAUAAGCUAAACAAGGAGAGCGAGUGCGAGGCAUUCGGGCUCCUUUUCAGAUUGCAGGGAGGUCUACGAUGGGUAUUUUCUUCGAUCACUGUGUAUUAUACAACACUAUUUUGCAAACCUGGCUGUGCCUGAAAUGAUGCUUGAAAACUCUAAGUCGAUUAUAACGUACACAAAAAAGAGAAGCUGCUCAAAUUGGCCAGUUUUGUGUGGCUCAGAGACAGAAAUAUUCAAAUGUUUUGUUUUUGGGACCAGGAUAUAUUUCUUUUUCCUCUUCCCGUGCAAUAAAUACUACUUAUUCCAAUCUGAA